rnacentral:rRNA from 1 species
UACGUAGGGUGCGAGCGUUAAUCGGAAUUACUGGGCGUAAAGCGUGCGCAGGCGGCUUGCCAAGUCAGAUGUGAAAGCCCCGGGCUCAACCCGGGAACGGCGUUUGAAACUGGCAGGCUAGAGUUUGGCAGAGGGGGGUGGAAUUCCACGGUGUAGCAGUGAAAUGCGUAGAGAUGUGGAGGAACACCGAUGGCGAAGGCAGCCCCCUGGGCCAAACUGACGCUCAGGCA